GACGAACGCUGGCGGCGUGCUUAACACAUGCAAGUCGAACGGAAAGGCCCUGCUUUUGUGGGGUGCUCGAGUGGCGAACGGGUGAGUAACACGUGAGUAACCUGCCCUUGACUUUGGGAUAACUUCAGGAAACUGGGGCUAAUACCGGAUAGGAGCUCCUGCUGCAUGGUGGGGGUUGGAAAGUUUCGGCGGUUGGGGAUGGACUCGCGGCUUAUCAGCUUGUUGGUGGGGUAGUGGCUUACCAAGGCUUUGACGGGUAGCCGGCCUGAGAGGGUGACCGGCCACAUUGGGACUGAGAUACGGCCCAGACUCCUACGGGAGGCAGCAGGGGGGAAUAUUGCACAAUGGGCGGAAGCCUAAUGCAGCAACGCCGCGGGCGGGAUGACGGCCUUCGGGUUGUAAACCGCUUUCGCCUGGGACGAAGCGUGAGUGACGGUAAUGGGUAAAGAAGCACCGGCUAACUACG
rnacentral:rRNA from 1 species